UAGAGUUUGAUCAUGGCUCAGAUUGAACGCUGGCGGCAUGCCUUACACAUGCAAGUCGAACGCGAAAGGGGGCAACCCCGAGUAGAGUAGCGAACGGGUGAGCAAUACAUCGGAACGUGUCCUGUAGCGGGGGACAACCUCGAGAAAUCGAGGCUAAUACCGCAUACGAUCUACGGAUGAAAGUGGGGGACCGCAAGGCCCCACACUAUAGGAGCGGCCGAUGCCGGAUUAGCUAGUUGGUGGGGUAAAAGCCCACCAAGGCGACGAUCCGUAGUUGGUUUGAGAGAACGACCAGCCACACUGGGACUGAGACACGGCCCAGACUCCUACGGGAGGCAGCAGUGGGGAAUUUUGGACAAUGGGCGCAAGCCUGAUCCAGCCAUGCCGCGUGAGUGAAGAAGGCCUUCGGGUUGUAAAGCACUUUUAGCAGGAAAGAAAGCCUGUACGCUAAUACCGUAUGGUUUUGACGUUACCUGCAGAAAAAGCACCGGCUAACUCCGUGCCAGCAGCCGCGGUAAUAC
rnacentral:rRNA from 1 species